rnacentral:rRNA from 1 species
AGGACUAACGCUGGCGGCGUGCCUAACACAUGCAAGUCGAACGAGAAAGUGGAGCAAUCCAUGAGUAAAGUGGCGACCGGGUGAGUAACACGUGACUAACCUACCUUCGAGUGGGGGAUAACCUCGGGAAACCGAGGCUAAUACCGCAUAACAUCGCAAGAUCAAAGCAGCAAUGCGCUGGAAGAGGGGGUCGCGGCUGAUUAGCUAGUUGGCGGGGUAAUGGCCCACCAAGGCGAAGAUCGGUA